AUUGGACGCUGGCGGCAUGCUUUACACAUGCAAGUCGAACGGUAACAGGCCGCAAGGUGCUGACGAGUGGCGAACGGGUGAGUAAUGCAUCGGAACGUGCCCAGUCGUGGGGGAUAACGCAGCGAAAGCUGUGCUAAUACCGCAUACGAUCUAUGGAUGAAAGCGGGGGACCGUAAGGCCUCGCGCGAUUGGAGCGGCCGAUGUCAGAUUAGCUAGUUGGUGGGGUAAAGGCCCACCAAGGCGACGAUCUGUAGCUGGUCUGAGAGGACGACCAGCCACACUGGGACUGAGACACGGCCCAGACUCCUACGGGAGGCAGCAGUGGGGAGUUUUGGACAAUGGGCGCAAGCCUGAUCCAGCAAUGCCGCGUGCAGGAAGAAGGCCUUCGGGUUGUAAACUGCUUUUGUACGGAACGAAACGGUCUGGGUUAAUACCCUGGGCUAAUGACGGUACCGUAAGAAUAAGCACCGGCUAACUACGUGCCAGCAGCCGCCGCGGUAA
rnacentral:rRNA from 1 species